rnacentral:rRNA from 1 species
AUACGUAGGUGGCAAGCGUUGUCCGGAAUAACUGGGCGUAAAGCGCAUGUAGACGGCAUGAUAAGCCAAAUGUGAAAUGUAGGGGCUCAACCCCUGCACUGCGAUUGGAACUGUCAAGCUUGAGUGCAGGAGAGGCAAAUGGAAUUCCCAGUGUAGCAGUGAAAUGCGUAGAGAUUGGGAGGAACACCAGUGGCGAAGGCGAUUUGCUGGACUGCAACUGACGUUGAGAUGCGAAAGCUAGGGGAGC